rnacentral:rRNA from 1 species
GAUGAACGCUAGCUACAGGCUUAACACAUGCAAGUCGAGGGGAAACGACAUCGAAAGCUUGCUUUUGAUGGGCGUCGACCGGCGCACGGGUGAGUAACGCGUAUCCAACCUGCCCAUCACUUGGGAAUAACCUUGCGAAAGUAAGACUAAUACCCAAUGAUAUCCCACGAAGACAUCUGAAUGGGAUUAAAGAUUUAUCGGUGAUGGAUGGGGAUGCGUCUGAUUAGCUUGUUGGCGGGGUAACGGCCCACCAAGGCAACGAUCAGUAGGGGUUCUGAGAGGAAGGUCCCCCACAUUGGAACUGAGACACGGUCCAAACUCCUACGGGAGGCAGCAGUGAGGAAUAUUGGUCAAUGGGCGAGAGCCUGAACCGGCCAAGUAGCGUGCAGGAUGACGGCCCUAUGGGUUGUAAACUGCUUUUAUAAGGGAAUAAAGUGGGUCUCGUGAGACUUUUUGCAUGUACCUUAUGAAUAAGGACCGGCUAAUUCCGUG